GUAUUGUGUUAUUUCCAGGAAAAGAGAUAGUGGUAUCUUGUGUAGAUUAAUAUGAGCAAUCCUCACAUUACAGAACACCCGAUCUGUGUAAGCACAACUAAGAUCACGUUAUGCAAGUACAGUGAUGGUAAUACAUCCAAAUGAUUUUACUAGUGUAGGUAAAAACCAGCCUACUUCCCAUAUCAAUGACCAAGACCUACUGAAGGUCAGACUAGCCAUGCAUGACUGGACACACCAAUGGAUAUGCAUGAUGAAAUGGAUGAUGUCAUAGAUUUACUGCCCGGUGACAAAUUCCAGAUGACGAUGGACAAUAAAUCCACAUAACAUGC